CCCCACAACUCCGAACCCUCCCCCUUCUUCCCGGCAACAUAACUCCAUCGGUCGGUAAUUGAAAACAGAGGAGCUCAGGCAGCGGAAAGCCUGGGGAAGGGGUGGGGACCAAAAGCAGACUGACUGACUGACUGGCUGGCUGGCUAACUAACUAACUAACUGUCGAACAAAAGAUGUCCGGGGUCGUGGCGGAACUGGAGUGAGUGAGUGUCUGACCGGCUGACUUAGGUGUCAGGAAUCCGGUCCAGAGCGUAGGGAAAACGGGUGGGCAGUGAAGCGCUCGAGCACCACCCUCCCCAUCCUUCAAACUCUUCAUCGCGGAGUUCGGAGGGGGCGCUGGGCAGCUGGAGCCGACAUCAAUGGUGGAAGCGAUUGUUGAGUUUUCUUAUGAAGCUCAGCAUGAUGAUGAGCUGACCAUUUCUGUAGGAGAUAUUGUAACUAAUAUCAAGAAAGAAGAUGGAGGCUGGUGGGAGGGUGAACUCGAUGGCAGAAGAGGUUUGUUCCCUGACAACUUUGUAAGAG